ensembl:lncRNA
GGCCGACAUCUUUCAAACUCGCUUCACCCGAGGGGGGAUAAAAACCAUAUUAAACAUCGAAAAAUACACCGAAAACACUGCAAAAAGAUAGUGAGAUUUAAAGAAAAAACAAACAAAAAUAACAACGGAACGGAACUCUGCCAGGCCUAGUCAAUUAUCUUUUUAAAAAAUCUGGAGGAAAAAAAAAAAGAGAAAAAUGGCAUAAAAAUGAAGAGAAAAAAAAAGGAAAAUUGGGGGUUUUAGAGAAAAAUUCCAUAAAAAGUAUAGAGCAGAGGGGGUGGAACCAAGACCCUCUAGCAUUCCUUAUUUUAUUCAUUUUAUUCCUCGCCUGCUGUGAGUUCGGUUCUGGGUACGAAGAGGAGAACCGCACGGGCGAACAAUGUGAACAAUUCUGCGGAGUUGAAAAUGUGCUUGCUGAAAUAAAGUUAAUUC